GGCGGAGGGAAGCUCAUCAGUGGGGCUACGAACUGAGUGCGUUGCAUCACUCUACCCCAUGUCCCUUGGGAAGGUCUGAGACUAGGGCCAAAUAGCGGCCCUAACAGGGCCCUCCCUGAACCRCGGGGAGGUGAGUUCCAAGAAACUGGUUUUAUAUUGUUGGUUAGGAUGAUAGAAGUUGAUUACCAGCAAUCUAAUUUUUAAUACAUCACAAAGAUAGAUUUUUUUAUACAGUGAAUUCAAACUAGUAAUUCACACAAAUUUUAAACUGAU
rnacentral:lncRNA from 1 species